GCUUCCGGAGCUAACGCGUUAAGUCGACCGCCUGGGGAGUACGGCCGCAAGGUUAAAACUCAAAUGAAUUGACGGGGGCCCGCACAAGCGGUGGAGCAUGUGGUUUAAUUCGAUGCAACGCGAAGAACCUUACCUGGUCUUGACAUCCACAGAACUUUCCAGAGAUGGAUUGGUGCCUUCGGGAACUGUGAGACAGGUGCUGCAUGGCUGUCGUCAGCUCGUGUUGUGAAAUGUUGGGUUAAGUCCCGCAACGAGCGCAACCCUUAUCCUUUGUUGCCAGCGGUCCGGCCGGGAACUCAAAGGAGACUGCCAGUGAUAAACUGGAGGAAGGUGGGGAUGACGUCAAGUCAUCAUGGCCCUUACGACCAGGGCUACACACGUGCUACAAUGGCGCAUACAAAGAGAAGCGACCUCGCGAGAGCAAGCGGACCUCAUAAAGUGCGUCGUAGUCCGGAUUGGAGUCUGCAACUCGAUUCCAUGAAGUCGGAAUCGCUAGUAAUCGUGGAUCAGAAUGCCACGGUGAAUACGUUCCCGGGCCUUGUACACACCGCCCGUCACACCAUGGGAGUGGGUUGCAAAAGAAGUAGGUAGCUUAACCUUCGGGAGGGCGCUUACCACUUUGUGAUUCAUGACUGGGGUGAAGUCGUAACAAGGUAACCGUAGGGGAACCUGCGGUUGGAUCACCUCCUUA
rnacentral:rRNA from 1 species